CCCUUAGAUGUUCUGGGCUGCACGCGCGCUACACUGAUGCGCUCAACGAGUUUAUGACCUUGCCCGGAAGGGUUGGGUAAUCUUCUUAAAACGCAUCGUGAUGGGGAUAGAUUAUUGCAAUUAUUAAUCUUCAACGAGGAAUUCCUAGUAAGCGCGAGUCAUCAGCUCGUGCUGAUUACGUCCCUGCCCUUUGUACACACCGCCCGUCGCUCCUACCGAUUGAAGUUUUCGGUGAGUUGACAGGAGGAUUUUUUUGAAACUGGUUCGCCAGUGGAUUUUAGAUCCAAAUGCCAACGAAUCGAUGGCUUUAGAGGAAGGAGAAGUCGUAACA
rnacentral:rRNA from 1 species